rnacentral:rRNA from 1 species
AUUGAACGCUGGCGGCAUGCCUUACACAUGCAAGUCGAACGGUAACGGGUCCUUCGGGAUGCCGACGAGUGGCGAACGGGUGAGUAACAUAUCGGAACGUGCCCAGUAGUGGGGGAUAACUGCUCGAAAGAGCAGCUAAUACCGCAUACGACCUGAGGGUGAAAGGGGGGGAUCGCAAGACCUCUCGCUAUUGGAGCGGCCGAUAUCAGAUUAGCUAGUUGGUGGGGUAAAGGCCUACCAAGGCAACGAUCUGUAGUUGGUCUGAAAGGACGCCCAGCCACACUGGGACUGAGACACGGCCCAGACUCCUACGGGAGGCAGCAGUGGGGAAUUUUGGACAAUGGGCGCAAGCCUGAUCCAGCAAUGCCGCGUGCAGGAAGAAGGCCUUCGGGUUGUAAACUGCUUUUGUCAGGGAAGAAAUCUUCUGGGCUAAUACCCCGGGAGGAUGACGGUACCUGAAGAAUAAGCACCGGCUAACUACGUGCCAGCCGCCGCCGUAA